rnacentral:tRNA from 1 species
GGCGCCGGUUCUGGGGGUUCGCCGCCGCCCGCGCCGCGUCCGCGGCGAUCGACGCGGCGAGCAUGUGGGUCGGCGUGCUGCUCACCGCGGCGCUC